rnacentral:rRNA from 1 species
GUGAGGAAUAUUGGUCAAUGGACGAGAGUCUGAACCAGCCAAGUAGCGUGAAGGAUGACUGCCCUAUGGGUUGUAAACUUCUUUUAUAAGGGAAUAAAGUGAGGGACGUGUCCCUUUUUGUAUGUACCUUAUGAAUAAGGAUCGGCUAACUCCGUGCCAGCAGCCGCGGUAAUACGGAGGAUCAAAGCGUUAUCCGGAUUUAUUGGGGUUAAAGGGAGCGUAGGUUGACAUAUAAGUCAGCUGUGAAAGUUUACGGCUCAACCGUGAAAUUGCAGUUGAUACUGUAUGUCUUGAGUGUACAAGAGGUGGGCGGAAUUCGUGGUGUAGCGGUGAAAUGCUUAGAUAUCACGAAGAACUCCAAUUGCGAAGGCAGCUCACUGGGGUACAACUGACACUGAGGCUCGAAAGUGUGGGUAUCAAACAGGAUUAGAAACCCCGGUAGUCC